GAUGAACGCUAGCUGGAGGCUUAAUACAUGCAAGUCGAGCGGGAUUGGGUAGCAAUACCCAUGAGAGCGGCGCACGGGUGAGUAACGCGUACACGACCUACCUCUAACAGGGGGAUAGCCCUGGGAAACUGGGAUUAAUACCGCAUAUAAUUCUGACAAAUAAAGAGUUGGAAUGAAAGUUCAGGCGGUUAGAGAUGGGUGUGCGUCUGAUUAGCUAGUUGGUAGGGUAACGGCCUACCAAGGCGAUGAUCAGUAGGGGGCGUGAGAGCGUGGUCCCCCACACGGGUACUGAGACACGGACCCGACUCCUACGGGAGGCAGCAGUAAGGAAUAUUGGACAAUGGCCGCAAGGCUGAUCCAGCCAUCCAGCGUGCAGGAAGAAGGCCCUAUGGGUUGUAAACUGCUUUCGUCAGGGAAUAAACCUGUGGAUUCACUCCGCAGCUGAAGGUACCUGAAGAAUAAGCACCGGCUAACUCCGUGCCAGCCGCCGCCGUAAGAC
rnacentral:rRNA from 1 species